UCCAAGUACACAAACUUCAGCUGCAGCAAAGAACCCAUGGAGCUAACGCAAGCCUGGAAAACAGCAGAAAUGAAAAACAGACACCUGCGUAAGGACGGGAUAUUCUGCUUGCUACCAGCUGCUUCACAAGCUUCUUCCAGAGUUCCUCAGAUGAAUCCUGAAGCAGUGACUGAAGUUCUGCAUGCUGAUAAAAUGAUCAACACCUGCUGGUCUGAAGGGCUCAGCAAGAAACUGACUCAUGGAAGAAUGCACUUUCCAUAUUCUAAUGACUUCAUCCCCCUUACCCUGACCAAACGAUAACCCCAAUUUUCUAACCCCUUGCCCUCUCCAAUCCCCUGAAAGAUCCUUGCCCAGAACCCCUCAAUGAAAUGAAUUUGAGUCUCGAGAAUUCCUCCUGUUUCCUCAUUCAGUCAUCUUGCAAUUAUUAAACAACUUGUCUGCUGCA
rnacentral:lncRNA from 1 species